rnacentral:rRNA from 1 species
GACGAACGCUGGCGGCGUGCUUAACACAUGCAAGUCGAACGGAAAGGCCCUGCUUUUGUGGGGUGCUCGAGUGGUGAACGGGUGAGUAACACGUGAGUAACCUGCCCUUGACUUUGGGAUAACUUCAGGAAACUGGGGCUAAUACCGGAUAGGAGCUCCUGCUGCAUGGUGGGGGUUGGAAAGUUUCGGCGGUUGGGGAUGGACUCGCGGCUUAUCAGCUUGUUGGUGGGGUAGUGGCUUACCAAGGCUUUGACGGGUAGCCGACCUGAGAGGGUGACCGGCCACAUUGGGACUGAGAUACGGCCCAGACUCCUACGGGAGGCAGCAGUGGGGAAUAUUGCACAAUGGGCGGAAGCCUGAUGCAGCAACGCCGCGUGCGGGAUGACGGCCUUCGGGUUGUAAACCGCUUUCGCCUGUGACGAAGCGUGAGUGACGGUAAUGGGUAAAGAAGCACCGGCUAACUACGUG